rnacentral:rRNA from 1 species
UAGGGAAUCUUCGGCAAUGGGGGGAACCCUGACCGAGCAACGCCGCGUGAGUGAAGAAGGUUUUCGGAUCGUAAAGCUCUGUUGUUAAGGAAGAACGAGUGUGAGAAUGGAAAGUUCAUACUGUGACGGUACUUAACCAGAAAGGGACGGCUAACUACGUGCCAGCAGCCGCGGUAAUACGUAGGUCCCGAGCGUUGUCCGGAUUUAUUGGGCGUAAAGCGCGCGUAGGCGGGUUGUUAAGUCUGAUGUGAAAGCCCACGGCUCAACCGUGGAGGGUCAUUGGAAACUGGAAAACUUGAGAGCAGAAGAGGAAAGUGGAAUUCCAUGUGUAGCGGUGAAAUGCGCAGAGAUAUGGAGGAGCACCAGUGGCGAGGGCGACUAUCUGGUCUAUAACUGACGCUAAUGUGCGAAAGCGUGGGGAUCAAACAGG